UAGGAGUUCGGUAUACCCCGGGAACUGGGGAUAAUACCGGAUAGAUCACCCAUGCUGGAAGGCGGGGUGGUUGAAACUUCCGGGGCUUUUGGAUGGGUCUGCGGCUGAUUAGGUUGUUGCCGGUGUAACGUACCGUCAAGCCUGUAAUCAGUACGGGUUGUGGGAGCAAGAGCCCGGAGAUGGAUUCUGAGACACGAAUCCAGGCCCUACGGGGCGCAGCAGGCGCGAAAACUCUACAAUGCAGGCAACUGCGAUAGGGGAACAUCGAGUGGUAUCCAUAUUGGGUGUCUGUCCACCCGCCUAAAAAGCGGGUGUUAGCAAGGGCCGGGCAAGACCGGUGCCAGCCGCCGCGGUAAUACCGGCGGCUCGAGUGGUGGCCGAUAUUAUUGAGUCUAAAGGGUCCGUAGCCGGCUUUGCAAGUCUCUCGGGAAAUCCAGCGGCUUAACCGUUGGUCGUCCGGGGGGUACUACAUUGCUUGGGACUGGGAGAGGUAGGAGGUACUCAGGGGGUAGGAGUGAAAUCCUGUAAUCCUUUGGGGACCACCGGUGGCGAAGGCGUCCUACCAGAACAGGUCCGACGGUGAGGGACGAAAGAUAGGGGCACGAACCGGAUUAGAUACCCGGGUAGUCCUAGCCGUAAACGAUGCUCGCUAGGUGUCACAACAGUCGUGAACUGUUGUGGUGCCGUAGGGAAGCCGUGAAGCGAGCCACUUGGGAAGUACGACCGCAAGGUUGAAACUUAAAGGAAUUGGCGGGGGAGCAC
rnacentral:rRNA from 1 species